rnacentral:lncRNA from 1 species
CUGAGCUACAUCUUUGGCCCUCUAGUAGAUAUUUUUAAAGUAAAGGAUAUGAAGUCUUCAUUUGGUUAUUUCUCUUUUUUGGUACCGGGGGAUCGAACUCAGGUCCUUGCGUUUGCACAGCAGGCGGCAUAUUUGGUUAUUUCUAAGAAAUAAAACCUGAUAACUUGUUUCUUUUAUGUUUAUUUCUGUGCAUUCCUGAAAUAAUUAAUUGGAAGGUUAAAAAUUAUAAUAAUGCCUAAAAACUUUGGCAUCCAUUAAAAUAAUCAAAAUUUUUAUUUAUUUGGUUUACUAACAUGUUUCCCUUUUUUUUUUUUUUUUUUUGGGACCAGGGAUUGAACUUGAGUCCUUGUGCUUGCGCAGCAGGUGGCGAAACCACUCCCUUUUUCUUUUUUGAUUGCCACAGGAUCUGGGCCUCACUACCGUGUGGGAAGAUCAGCUUUCUUAUCUUUUGUCGCCAGCCCUGGCCUCCUAUGAAUUUGAGCGCACAACGAGCAUAUCUGCAGGAAAUGAGGAGUUUCAGGACGCCAUCAGGAGGGCUGUGCCUGACGGGCACACAUUUAAGGGCUUCCCCAUCCACUUCGUGUACAGAAAUGCAAGGCGUGCAUUUGCCACGUGUCUUCGGUCCCCGUUUUGUGAAGAAAUAAUCUGUUGCCGUGGAGACCAAGUGCACUGGCAGUGCGUGUCCAGUGUUCACUUACCCUGAGUCGGCCUGUGCUGUUUGGAUCAUGUUUGCUUGGUCUGGCCUUGAAUUCACUGUAGCCCAGGCUGGCCUCGAACUCACAGCGAUCCUUCUGCCUUGGUCUCCCGAGUGCUGGGGUUAUAGCUGUGCACCACCAUGCCCAGCAGAAGUUUUUAAUUUUGAUAAAGUCUAAUGUAUCUUUCUUCGAGGUUUAUGGUUUUGGUGUCAUAUUUAAGAAUCCAUUGCCAAGUGCAAAGUUAUGAAGAUUUAUCUGUUUUUCCUUAAAGUUUUAGUUUUACCUCACACUUCAGUCUUCCAUCGAUUUUCAGUUAAUUUUUAUAUAUGGUUUGAGGUAAGAAUCCACGUUCUUUUGCAUAUGCAUACUGAGUUGUAACAGCACCUGUUUUUGGAAACUAUUUUUCCCUAUUGAUGCUCAAACUAGAAAAUGUCUGAAUGACACCAAUAAAACUGAUAUACG